GACAGAGGGUGCAAACGUUGUUCGGAAUUACUGGGCGUAAAGCGCGUGUAGGCGGCCCUGCAAGUCGGAUGUGAAAUCCCACGGCUCAACCGUGGAAGUGCAUUCGAAACUGCAGGGCUAGAGUCCUGGAGAGGAAGGUGGAAUGCUUGGUGUAGAGGUGAAAUUCGUAGAUAUCAAGCAGAACACCUGUGGCGAAGGCGGCCUUCUGGACGAUGACUGACGCUGAGACGCGAAAGCGUGGGGAGCAAACAGG
rnacentral:rRNA from 1 species